UACGUAGGUGACAAGCGUUAUCCGGAAUUACUGGGCGUAAAGCGCACUCAGGCGGCAGCUUAAGUCUGACGUGAAAUCUCCUGGCUUAACUGGGAGAGGUCGUUGGAAACUGGGCAGCUUGAGGUGGUGAGAGGGGUGCAGAAUUCCCGGUGUAGUGGUGGAAUGCGUAGACAUCGGGAGGAAUACCAGUGGAGUAAGAGGCGCCAUGGCACAGACCUCACGCUCAUGUGUGAGCGCGUGGGGAGCAAACGGG
rnacentral:rRNA from 1 species